GACGAACGCUGGCGGCGUGCUUAGCACAUGCAAGUCGAACGGGUCUGCCCUGUUUUUUGCGGGGUGGGUCAGUGGCGAACGGGUGAGUAACACGUGAGUAACCUGCCCCUCACUUCUGGAUAACCGCUUGAAAGGGUGGCUAAUACGGGGUGUUCUGGCUGUGCCGCAUGGUGUGGCUGGGAAAGAUUCACUUUUGUGGUGUUUUGGUGGGGGAUGGGCUCGCGGCCUAUCAGCUUGUUGGUGGGGUGAUGGCCUGCCAAGGCUUUGACGGGUAGCCGGCCUGAGAGGGUGGGCGGUCACACUGGGACUGAGAUACGGCCCAGACUCCUGCGGGAGGCAGCAGUGGGGGGUAUUGCACAAUGGGCGGAAGCCUGAUGCAGCGACGUCGCGUGAGGGAUGGAGGCCUUCGGGUUGUGAACCUCUUUCGCCGGUGAAGAAGGUCCUGCUCUUUGUGGUGGGGUUGACGGUAGCCGGGUUAUGAAGCGCCGGCUAACUACGUG
rnacentral:rRNA from 1 species